AGGACGAACGCUGGCGGCGUGCUUAACACAUGCAAGUCGAGCGGUAAGGCCCUUUCGGGGGUACACGAGCGGCGAACGGGUGAGUAACACGUGGGUGACCUGCCCUUAGCUCUGGGAUAAGCCUGGGAAACUGGGUCUAAUACCGGAUAUGACCUCGCGAUGCAUGUCGUGGGGUGGAAAGCCUUGUGCGGCUAGGGAUGGGCCCGCGGCCUAUCAGCUUGUUGGUGGGGUGAUGGCCUACCAAGGCGACGACGGGUAGCCGGCCUGAGAGGGCGACCGGCCACACUGGGACUGAAACACGGUCCAGACUCCUACGGGAGGCAGCAGUGGGGAAUUUUGCGCAAGUGGGGGAAACCCUGACGCAGCAACGCCGCGUGGAGGAUGAAGUCCCUUGGGACGUAACUCCUUUCGAUCGGGACGAUAAUGACGGUACCGAGAGAAGAAGCCCCGGCUAACUUCGCGCCAGCAGCCGC
rnacentral:rRNA from 1 species